rnacentral:rRNA from 1 species
GACGAACGCUGGCGGCGCGCCUAACACAUGCAAGUCGAACGGAGCUGAGAGAAGCUUGCUUUUCUUAGCUUAGUGGCGAACGGGUGAGUAACGCGUGAGUAACCUGCCCUGGAGUGGGGGACAACAGUUGGAAACGACUGCUAAUACCGCAUAAGCCCACGAUCCGGCAUCGGAUUGAGGGAAAAGGAUUUAUUCGCUUCAGGAUGGACUCGCGUCCAAUUAGCUAGUUGGUGAGGUAACGGCCCACCAAGGCGACGAUUGGUAGCCGGACUGAGAGGUUGAACGGCCACAUUGGGACUGAGACACGGCCCAGACUCCUACGGGAGGCAGCAGUGGGGGAUAUUGCACAAUGGGGGAAACCCUGAUGCAGCGACGCCGCGUGGAGGAAGAAGGUGUUCGGAUUGUAAACUCCUGUCGUUAGGGACGAUAAUGACGGUACCUAACAAGAAAGCACCGGCUAACUACGUG